AAUGUUGAUGAGCCUGCAGUGAGGUUGGGAGCAGAUUCCUGGAGAAACAUGGUAGAUGAAGGGACAAUCUCAGGACUGUGGUCAAUUAUACAGAAAUGGAACCUUGAAGUCCUAGUGGGUCACAUCAGUCAUAAAGUCAAUGCAAAGACAGAAGGAUUUCCACAAGAUUAAAAACUACAGAAAUAUGCAGAUAAAUGAAAGUAAUAAAAGUAUUAAUGAAAAAUUAUCUCUGGACUAGAACACAUGCAAAAUUUAAUUAGUUUGAGAGAAAGUUUACAUCCACUUCUCAGGCUUAUGUCCGUUGAUCUGGAUGGAUCUCCCUGUUGUGAACAGUUUACUCAGGUUCAUUUCUGAUUUGAGCAUCUGGGGGAAGGGGCUUGGUUCCCUGAGUGACAGGUCGGCUCUGGGGCCUGGCAGGGACAGGGACAUCUCAGAAGGACUCCCUGGAGAGCCCCUCUCCCCUCUCAUCCACACUCAGACCAGAGGGCCCUCUGCCUGCCCCGACCCCGCCAUGAGCCCCUGCCUCCUGGGCUGUGUGGUCUUCUGUCUCCUGCAGGCAGGGGCGGUCCACGCUGGUGUCACUCAGGACCCCAGAUUCCAGGUCGUGAGGACAGGACAGAGCGCCACACUUAAUUGUACUCAGGAUCUGGGUCAUAACUAUAUGUGCUGGUACCAACAAGACCCGGGACACGGGCUGAGGCUGAUCCAUUACUCAGCUGUGGCUCCCUCCAUGGUGAAAGGAGAUGUGCCCGACGGGUACAGCGUCUCCAGACCAAGCACAGAGAACUUCCCUCUGACGCUGAAAUCUGCCAACCGCUCCCAGACAUCUGUGUACUUCUGUGCCAGCAGUGACUCCACGGCGCUGCACGGCCACCUCCUCUCUGUGCAAAAAGGCAGAUGAGGGCCCUGCAGCCUGGAACUUGGGGAGCCCCAGCAGGCUCCUAGCAACUGGAGCCUCGGAGCCCACAGACAUACUGGCAGCAUAGGCAGUAGUUUUUUAUCUUUGCUGUCACAGACCUGACAACAGGGCCUCAUGGACAUGUGUCCGCUCUCACUCUGUCUUUUCACCAUAGCUUCCACGUGAGCCUAAAGAUGCUAGCCAGCUCUGACUCCUAGUAUCAGUCUGAACAUGAGGCCUCCAGGAGGGAAGGGUGUUGGGAAAUCAGGUACAUCUAGACCCUCUCGUCUCUCCCCAGGCACCACAUGCCUGUCGCUGUGGAAGGUUCUCCCGCAGGCAGGCCCUUGUGUGGUCUCUGCUCUUGUCCAACUUCCCCAGAUGUGGGGUCUUUACUCUUCCACCUUCCUGGCCCUUGUUCCCACCCUUCUCUACUUCAGCCUAGCUGCUCCUCCUUCAUCUGGGUCAUGUCUUUGCCCAUCACCCAGGGAACUUUAUAAUGAUCCCUACGUGGUCCUGUUUGAGUAGGCUCCUUGGGGUCCUCAAAGAGAAUGCAACC